rnacentral:rRNA from 1 species
UACGAAGGGGGCUAGCGUUGCUCGGAAUCACUGGGCGUAAAGCGCACGUAGGCGGAUCUUUAAGUCAGGGGUGAAAUCCCGGAGCUCAACUCCGGAACUGCCUUUGAUACUGGAGAUCUUGAGUCCGGGAGAGGUGAGUGGAACUGCGAGUGUAGAGGUGAAAUUCGUAGAUAUUCGCAAGAACACCAGUGGCGAAGGCGGCUCACUGGCCCGGUACUGACGCUGAGGUGCGAAAGCUAGGGGAGCGAACAGG